ensembl:lncRNA
UGUCACCAUGGAUACCACCUGAUGUCGCCAUGGAUACCACCUGAUGUCACCAUGGAUACCACCAGAUGUCGCCAUGGAUACCACCUGAUGUCACCAUGGAUACCACCAGAUGUCGCCAUGGAUACCACCUGAUGUCGCCAUGGAUACCACCAGAUGUCGCCAUGGAUACCACCUGAUGUCGCCAUGGAUACCACCAGAUGUCGCCAUGGAUACCACCUGAUGUCGCCAUGGAUACCACCAGAUGUCGCCAUGGAUACCACCUGAUGUCGCCAUGGAUACCACCAGAUGUCGCCAUGGAUACCACCUGAUGUCGCCAUGGAUACCACCAGAUGUCGCCAUGGAAACCACUCACUGGCCAUGCCAGCCAAUCAACCGCGAGGAAUCUAGACGGUGACCUCAGAGCCAGGUCGUCCAACUGAGCCUUUUUUGCUGGAGGGUGUGAAAGAGUGUGUGUGUGUGUGAGAGUUAAAGGAGUAAGAAGAGUGUGUGUGUGAGAGUUAAAGGAGUAAGAAGAGUGUGUGUGAGUGAGAGUUAAAGGAGUAAGAAGAGUGUGUGUGUGAGAGUUAAAGGAGUAAGAAGAGUGUGUGUGUGAGAGUUAAAGGAGUAAGAAGAGUGUGUGUGUGAGAGUUAAAGGAGUAAGAAGAGUGUGUGUGUGAGAGUUAAAGGAGUAAGAAGAGUAAGAGUGUGUGUGUGAGAGUUAAAGGAGUAAGAAGAGUGUGUGUGUGUGUGAGAGUUAAAGGAGUAAGAAGAGUGUGUGUGUGUGUGUGUGUGUGUGAGAGUUAAAGGAGUAAGAAGAGUGUGUGUGUGUGUGUGUGUGUGUGAGAGUUAAAGGAGUAAGAAGAGUGUGUGUGUGUGUGUGUGUGUGUGAGAGUUAAAGGAGUAAGAAGAGUGUGUGUGUGAGAGUUAAAGGAGUAAGAAGAGUGUGUGUGUGUGUGUGAGUUAAAGGAGUA